GACGAACGCUGGCGGCGUGCCUAAUACAUGCGAGUAGAACGCUGAAGGAGGAGCUUGCUUCUCUGGAUGAGUUGCGAACGGGUGAGUAACGCGUAGGUAACCUGCCUGGUAGCGGGGGAUAACUAUUGGAAACGAUAGCUAAUACCGCAUAAUAGUAGAUGUUGCAUGACAUUUGCUUAAAAGGUGCAAUUGCAUCACUACCAGAUGGACCUGCGUUGUAUUAGCUAGUUGGUGGGGUAACGGCUCACCAAGGCGACGAUACAUAGCCGACCUGAGAGGGUGAUCGGGCACACUGGGACUGAGACACGGCCCAGGCUCCUACGGGGGGCAGCAGUAGGGGAUCUUCGGCAAUGGACGGAAGUCUGACCGAGCAACGCCGCGUGAGUGAAGAAGGUUUUCGGAUCGUAAAGCUCUGUUGUAAGGGAAGAACGGGUGUGAGAGUGGAAAGUUCACACUGUGACGUUAUCUUACCAGAAAGGGACGGCUAACUACGUG
rnacentral:rRNA from 1 species